AGAGUUUGAUCAUGGCUCAGGAUGAACGCUGGCGGCGUGCUUAACACAUGCAAGUCGAACGAACCUUCGAGUUAGUGGCGGACGGGUGAGUAACGCGUGAGAAUCUGCCCUCAGGAGGGGGAUAACGGCUGGAAACGGCCGCUAAUACCCCAUAUGCCGCGAGGUGAAAUGAAUUUCGCCUGAGGAUGAGCUCGCGUCUGAUUAGCUAGUUGGUGGGGUAAAGGCCUACCAAGGCAUCGAUCAGUAGCUGGUCUGAGAGGAUGAUCAGCCACACUGGGACUGAGACACGGCCCAGACUCCUACGGGAGGCAGCAGUGGGGAAUUUUCCGCAAUGGGCGAAAGCCUGACGGAGCAACGCCGCGUGAGGGAUGAAGGCCUCUGGGCUGUAAACCUCUUUUAUCAAGGAAGAAGAUCUGACGGUACUUGAUGAAUAAGCCACGGCUAAUUCCGUGCCAGCAGCCGCGGUAAUACGGGAGUGGCAAGCGUUAUCCGGAAUUAUUGGGCGUAAAGCGUCCGCAGGCGGUCUUGUAAGUCUGUUGUUAAAGCGUGGAGCUUAACUCCAUUUCAGCAAUGGAAACUGUAAGACUAGAGUGUGGUAGGGGCAGAGGGAAUUCCCGGUGUAGCGGUGAAAUGCGUAGAUAUCGGGAAGAACACCAGUGGCGAAGGCGCUCUGCUGGGCCAUAACUGACGCUCAUGGACGAAAGCCAGGGGAGCGAAAGGGAUUAGAUACCCCUGUAGUCCUGGCCGUAAACGAUGAACACUAGGUGUCGGGGGAAUCGACCCCCUCGGUGUCGUAGCCAACGCGUUAAGUGUUCCGCCUGGGGAGUACGCACGCAAGUGUGAAACUCAAAGGAAUUGACGGGGGCCCGCACAAGCGGUGGAGUAUGUGGUUUAAUUCGAUGCAACGCGAAGAACCUUACCAGGGUUUGACAUCCUGCGGAUCUCUUGGAAACGAGAGAGUGCCUUCGGGAACGCAGUGACAGGUGGUGCAUGGCUGUCGUCAGCUCGUGUCGUGAGAUGUUGGGUUAAGUCCCGCAACGAGCGCAACCCACGUCGUUAGUUGCCAGCAUUUAGUUGGGCACUCUAGCGAGACCGCCGGUGAUAAACCGGAGGAAGGUGUGGAUGACGUCAAGUCAUCAUGCCCCUUACAUCCUGGGCUACACACGUACUACAAUGCUACGGACAAAGGGCAGCAAACUCGCGAGAGCUAGCAAAUCCCAUAAACCGUGGCUCAGUUCAGAUCGUAGGCUGCAACUCGCCUACGUGAAGGAGGAAUCGCUAGUAAUCGCAGGUCAGCAUACUGCGGUGAAUACGUUCCCGGGCCUUGUACACACCGCCCGUCACACCAUGGAAGUUGGCCACGCCCGAAGCCGUUACUCCAACCCUUGUGGAGGAGGAUGUCGAAGGUGGGGCUGAUGACUGGGGUGAAGUCGUAACAAGGUAACC
rnacentral:rRNA from 1 species